GUUGAAAUAAAUGACUAUAAAAUGCAUCUGAACGAAACUGUUGCUAUAGGAUAUGCUUUUUUGCUGUUGUUGUUUUUUUUUUGUUUGUUUUUUUUUGUAGUUGUCCCAUGUCGGAAAUGAGGACGUAAGUCAGUAGCCAUAGUGUUCUGAAUGACAUAGCAUCUGAUUUUUCUUAGGAUUCAUCUUCCCACCAUCCAGCUCUAAAACCAGGCCAUCGCAACCAGCACACAGCCCCAUCACCACUCAGAAAGGCCAAAAGCAAAUGGGAAAGAAAAGAACAACAAAAGGGAAAAAAUCUGUGUAGCACUUAUACUUCAUACCUUGUGCUGAUGAGCCAGGGGCAAGUACACGGAAGCUGCACGGCCAGUUAGUAUGGAAACUGAGAAUUCAACCAACGGCGCAGAAUAGCACUAAAAAAAAUCGAGAUUUGGUUCCAAGAGAGAUUGGUACACAUAUGUAAACAUUAGUGAAACCUUUAAGAGAAACAAAGUAAGAAUGAAAAAAGUUUCAAUCCAAAAUAUGAAAACCUAACGGCUCCAACCGUAGCUGGAUAAUGGAUAAACCGCGAUAUUGGGAGGCUAAAGAAAUGUCUGUCCAUCUUGGGCGAGUAUUGACAAUUCCACCAAGCUAUUUUUUUUGGCUAAGCCAUGCUGCUUCCUGUAAUUAAGCUCGAUUAUGUGUUUUGAUGUGGACGAAAACAGCACGGAAUCCUCCUUGCAUCGCGUUUUGGAAGAAGAGAACCAAAGAUCAAGAUUAUUUUUUCUGUAAUUAACGAAGAGGUUCACAAAGAAUGGCAUUUCUGCAGCACUUUUAGUAAACAGGGAAAGAUCCCAAAUGCGAGCGAAAUAGAAUUGUCGAUCUUGAUGAAUAAAGACAUGCACUGCUUUUUGUUGGUUCAACAUAGAAUGAAACGUUUAAUGGUUUAGGUAUUCCAAGAAAAUAUUGUUAUGGGAUUUCUGAGCGACAUUCAGCACUUUUCAUCUAUAAAGAAUAAUCUCCUCACCAUUAGCGUAUGCUCAAACCCCAAACCCUAACCCCAAAUUUAAUGUGACUUGAGGCUUUCAUUGGACGAUAAAUUUUAUCAAGAGUAUAUAGGCUAAAGAUAAGUAUUUUUGGACUUAAAUGCAAAGGAAAAAACUCACUAAAGAGUAAAAUAUAAGUAAAA